rnacentral:rRNA from 1 species
CCUACGGGGCGCAGCAGUCGAGAAUCAUUCACAAUGGGGGAAACCCUGAUGGUGCGACGCCGCGUGGGGGAAUGAAGUUCUUCGGAUUGUAAACCCCUGUCAUGUGGGAGCAAAUUAAAAAGAUCGUACCACACGAGGAAGAGCCUGCUAACUCUGUGCCAGCAGCCGCGGUAAUACAGAGGUCUCAAGCGUUGUUCGGAAUCACUGGGCGUAAAGCGUGCGUAGGCUGUUUCGUAAGUCGUGUGUGAAAGGCGCGGGCUCAACCCGCGGACGGCACAUGAUACUGCGAGACUAGAGUAAUGGAGGGGGAACCGGAAUUCUCGGUGUAGCAGUGAAAUGCGUAGAUAUCGAGAGGAACACUCGUGGCGAAGGCGGGUUCCUGGACAGUAACUGACGCUGAGGCACGAAGGCCAGGGGAGCGAAAGGGAUUAGAUACCCUUGUAGUC